UCCAAAUAUGUCCUCUCUUCAAUUAGGUUUCAAAGAUUUCUUACAUUUCUUGGAGUUCAAUGUGGUAAAUUGAAUCAUGAAAUCAAUUGUUUCAUCUGUUAUGGCAAUGAAACCUCGUGGGAGCAUUUAAUGAUUGAAAGCGAAGAUUGAAUGCUGGCAGCAAAUUGAAGACGCAAAUGAAACCUGGUAGGGGCAAUUAAUUGUGAAAUCAUUUGAAUUAUGAUUUCGUCGUUGAUGAUUGAUGAUCAAAUGAAACAUGGUAAGAGCAAUUAAUGAACGAAACUAAAGAUUGAAUGUUGGCAGCAAAUUGAAGACACGAAUUAAAUUUUCCCCGUCGUUUCUAGACCCACAAUUCUUUAAGAGGGAACCGAUGAUUGAAUUGUGGGGUCAUUUGCGAGUUCAAUUCCCUAUUAUUAGGUCCACACGGCUGCUUAAUUACACACAUCUGCGACCGGAAUCCGCGUUUCUAAGGGUUGCGGAAGAAAAAACGAGCUGAAACAUUAAAGAAAUGAGCACACAGGAGGAGGUUUAGGCUUAGUCUUAGUGAAGGAUUCUCAUGAAAUGGAAAUGGAUAUUUAAGGAUGUGAGAAGAUAGAGAAUUGAAUUGAAUUACAAAUCCAUAGACGAAAGCGGUGAAGAAAACAGAGUUGAAACAAAGAAGUUAUGGACGAAACGGUUUUCUCAAUUCGCAUGUCGGACACGUCACGCGGCCAGAGAGAAUCAGCUGCCCGCGCGACGCGGAGUGUGCCCUGAUUAGCGCGUAAAACUUCACUACAAGUCCUAUUGAAGCCCAUGUUUAAGCCUAAUCAUAACCAGAAAACCCUAGACGAAUUGGGAACCCCACAAUAUGAAUUAAGAAGCUGAAAAUGAAGAUUUUGAAGAUCAAAAGAGCUCGGGAGUGAAGAAUUGAAGCGUGGGAUCAAAUCUGUCAGGUACCAAAAUUGGUACUUUUGUAUUUUCAGGUCUUAAACAGAGCAUAAAGGAAAAUUAUGAUGAAAACGGACAAAUUCUGAUGCAUUUCUGAUAAAACGGACAAAAAUCUGAUGACUGCCAAGUGUCGCACGGCCGUGCAUCCAACCGCACUACCGUGCGAGACCUCCGACCUCGGAAGCACUGCCAGUGCGACUCAUGGUGCCGCUGAUUUCUCGAACCGCACCCCCUGCGAGUCAACCGCACCCCCUGCAAGCCAACCGCACCCCCUGCGAGCCAACCGCACCCCUAUGCACCACCUGGACCAUACUUUCUGAUCACGAUUAUGAUGGCGUCGCACUACCAUGCGACCAGUCGCAUGACCGUGCCAAUCUGAUGACCUAGACAAGUUGUCCACUAGUCCACUUGGCUGACCCGGGAUCGCUGAAACUAACGUCACCCGACAAGGCCUGACCGCACGGCCGUGCGACCAGUCGCAUGCCCGUGCGAAACUGAAAAUUGCCUAUAAAUAGCGGCAUUCGCUACUGAUCAAAAUGUUGGGUUUUUCUCCAUGUUUCUGGGCGAUUUCUGGGUUUCGAAGCAGUCCUGAUCAGACCCAUUUGAAGCUUAAAGAUCGAGUGGAAGCAUAACCGA